GUAAUCCUACGGGGCGCAGCAGUAGGGAAUCUUCCACAAUGGACGAAAGUCUGAUGGAGCAACGCCGCGUGAGUGAAGAAGGGUUUCGGCUCGUAAAGCUCUGUUGGUAGUGAAGAAAGAUAGAGGUAGUAAAUGGCCUUUAUUUGACGGUAAUUACUUAGAAAGUCACGGCUAACUACGUGCCAGCAGCCGCGGUAAUACGGAGGUGGCAAGCGUUGUCCGGAUUUAUUGGGCGUAAA
rnacentral:rRNA from 1 species